GCAUGAGCUUGUCAGAGGUCACACAUGGAAAAAGAUCAGAUGUCUUUGAGAGAGCACUCAGGCAAGUAUUCUGGACCCAUAAAUGAGAUACUUUUUGAAAAUAUUUUAGAGAUGGAUUAUCAAAGAAUCAAAUCCAUGAAAGUUUUGAGUUAGUACACUCUAAUUUUUGCUGUGCGCUGUCUUAUAUGUGUUUUUGGUUUCAUGCAAGUCAAAAAAAUAUUGUCUAUGGGCCAGGUGCGGUGGCUCAUGUCUGUAAUCCCAGAAUUUUGGGAGGCUGAGGCAGGCAAAUCAUCUGAGGUUAGGUAUUGGAGACUACCCCAGCCAACAUGGUGAAACUGUGUCUCCAUUAAAAAUACAAAAAUUAGCCAGGCGUGUCUCCAAAAAAAUACAAUACUGGCAUGCACCUGUAGUUCCAGCUACUUGGGAGGCUGAGGUGGGAGAAUCACUUGAGCCCAGGAGGCAGAGGUUGCAAUGAGCCAAAAUUACUUCACUGUACUCCAGCCUGGGCAACAGAGAGAGAUUCUGUCUUAAAAUAUAUAUAUAUGUAGCCCUAUGAAGAGUAUCGUUUCUCUGUCUUGCUGUUUCAAGAAUAACAGAAACAAACUACAUCCUCAUUUGUUUUUACUUUUUGUAUCAGACUUUAUGAAAAUGUUCAUCAACGUAUAAUUAUCUAAAUCCUCACCAGUUUUACUUUAAAAUUACCUUGCAGGUGAUAUGAGUCUGACAUAUGCACUGAAACAUCAACAACAGGGUCUUGCUAUGUCAACUAUGCAGGAGUGCAGUGGCAUGAUCCCAGCUCACUGCAUCCUUGAACUCCUGGGCUCCUCUGAUCCUCCCACCUCAUCUUCCCAAAUCGAGAUUCUACCUGGUAUCACCUCCCUUCAAUCUGAAGAACAUGCUUUAGCAUUUCUUGUAGUGCAAGUAUACAACUUUAAUUUGUCUGAAAAAAAUCCCAUCACCCUCAUUUUUAAAGAAAACUUUCAGUGAGUACAGGAUUGAAUUCUUUGUUGACACAUUCGAUCAUUUUGUUGAUCUCAAAGUUUACUUACUCUUCUGUCAUCUCCAACGUACUAUUAAUCUUAUCCAGUGAAUUUUUAAAAAUGUAUUAUAGUUUUUCAUUCUGAAUUUAUUUUAUUUGGUUCAUUUUUAUAGGUACUAUUUCUCUGCCUAGGACCCUUAUUAAUUCACUCAUUAAGAUUAUAUUUAAUUUUUUCUUUAUUUUUUUUUACUUCUUUAAACCUUUUUAUAACACGUUUUUAGAUCUUUAUCAGCUAAAUAUAUUUCAGAUAUCUUAGGGUCCAUUUCUGUUGACUGCUUUUGUUCUUGAUGAGUGUCACAUUUUCCUGUUUAUUUGCAUGUCUUGCCAUAUUUUAUGGUAUAUUGGGCAUUCUUGAUUUGUGGAGAUUCUAGAUUCUAGUAACUUUCUCUGAAGUACAUUUAUUUUUGCUUUAAUAGGUAUUUCAGUUUUUGGCAUGUCGCCUUAAACUUGUGUAGCCUUGUCUUUGAGCUUUUUAAAGGGUAGAAGUGUAGAAAUAGUGUUUUCUCUAAUAUCCUUUAACUUUAGAGGAUUCCCAACCAUUUUCUCCCCAUAACAUUUUACCAGAAGUUUUUUUUUUUCUUCCAUAAGUGUGUGUGUGUGUGUGUGUGUGUGUGUGUGUGUGUAUGGGUGUGUGUGUGUUUAAGGAGGAUCUAGAGUAGGCCCUAUUGUAGGGUGUGGUUCAUACUUCUAAGGUACAGCCUUCUGGUAUUUCAUUUAGAUGUCUGUGAUGUUAACAUGUUAACAAAGUCUCAGUUGAAUUAGAUCUCUGAUAUUUCCAAUCCCAUCCCAAUAGCAGAUACUUCCUAGUAAGCCUCAUUUAGUUGUACCUUGCAUGUGCUCAGCACAACCCUUGCUCAAGGUUUCAUGAAGACCCUUCACAUACAGUUCUCAGACCCUCACACAUCCAGUGUCCUCCUCUCCACUUUGUUCCCGAUAGAUUAGAGCUAUGUUAGCUCCCCCAAACCCUAUGACUGCUUUUGCAGCUCUACAGGAACAACAGGCUCUGAGCCUGGCAUCCAGCUCACUGUGCUGCAGCUAUGUAACUUUUCCUAGGCAGUUAUGAUGCCCAUUUGUAAUAUUGUCUUCUUUCAGUGAUCUGUGUGUUAUACUAUCUACUGCCUAUGAUACUUUCCUAAACAAUUUUUCUCAGUUGUUUUUCCUGGUGUGUUUUAUACUAGGAGAUUUCAAUGAGGUACUAAAAAGAAAAUCUCUGCUUUAAUUUUUACAUUCAUAUUCUCAAUCCAUUGAGAAUAUAUUCUUGUGUGUAAUAUAAAAAAGAAUAAUUUUUCUGCUAUCUUUUUGUUUUGGUAUAAUUUUAAGCUUUCAGACAUUUGUAUAUUAUUAGUUUUUUUAAAAAUAGUUGUUUAUCACAGAACAACUUAAAGUAAUUCUUUUUUACUAUUUAUUUAACAUGUUGCCUUUUUAUGAUUUAUUUCCAUACAAAAUUGAAUCAAUAUCUGGAUUUCUAUUCUGUUCCUUUAUAUACCAUGUCACAGUGUUUGAAUAGUGGUAAGACCUUCUCCCUUCUCAUUGUUGUUCUUUUUUUGCAGUAUUUUUCUAGCUAUUCUUGCCUUGGUUGUUCCUCCACGUGAACCUAAUAAUCACUUUGUUUUGCUGUAGUAAAUAAGAAACACAGUGAUGUUUUUAAUUUAGAGAACAAAAUUUAUAAAUAAUAAACUAUAAUUAUAUAUAUUUAUUAUAAGUUAAUGUGGAGAAUGUUUAACAUCUUUAUAACUUUAAGUCUUUUGUCAAAAAAAUGGUAAUUUUUUUCAUUUUACAAAAUGUAUUAUCUUGUGUAUGUUUUUUCAAUAUUUUAGAGUUUCUUUUUGUAAGUUUUAGAUUUUUUCAAUGUAUACAUGACAUUUUAUCUUACCUCUAAAAAUUUUUGCCAUUGCAAAUGGGGUCUGCUCUUCAUUAUGUAUUCUGUUUUUUUUAAUAUACAUGAGGGCUAUUAAUAUUUGUAUGUUGAUCUUAUAAAUGAAUUCAUUAAAUUCUCUUGCUGAUUUUAGUUUUUCCACAUAUUCUUUUAAAUUUUCCACCUAUAACAAUAUAAUUUUCAAAUAAAUAUAUUUGUUUUAAUUAUUAGGACUCUACUUGCUUUCUUUUGCCUAUUGUAUUGGCUAAUAGAGUAAUACAGUAAUAGUGAAGAUGGCAGCAUCUAUGUCUAAUUCCUAACUUUAACACAGUUAUUUUUUAAAACUCUUGUUAAAUUUCUGUUAUUAUUUUUAAAUGCAUAGUCUACCUCUGCAGGAAAUAAAAAUGAUGACAAAUAUUUGGUUUUCUUUAAUGACGUGGGGUCUAAGCUCCCUUCCUUUGAACCUAAACUAUUAUAUGACUGCUUUGGCUAAUUGAUUACAAUAGAAAUAAUGUUUUAUCAGUUUCUAGGCUUAGUAUUUUAGAGGAUGGCAGUUCUAAGCCACAGUGAAGAAAAUGUAGUUACUUUCCUGGGGAGAAUGCCUAGAGAGGUACAGGAAAUGAAUGGCACCCGGGUGAUUCGCUGUCAAUCUUCUUUAUGGCAAUAUACCAGUUAUAUGAGUGAAAUUGUCAUAAUAUCUUCCAGACCAGCCCAGAUAUGAGAUGAAUACUCUGAGUGAUCAUAGUCAAUGAUAUGAAGAAUUGAUAUAUUCUCCAACAAAGUCCUGCACUAUAUUUCUGAC
rnacentral:lncRNA from 1 species